AAGACCUUGCGCUUUUGGAGCGGCCGAUGCCUGAUUAGCUAGUUGGUYGGGUAAAGGCCUACCAAGGCUUCGAUCAGUAGUUGGUCUGAGAGGACGACCAGCCACACUGGGACUGAGACACGGCCCAGACUCCUACGGGAGGCAGCAGUGGGGAAUUUUGGACAAUGGGGGCAACCCUGAUCCAGCCAUGCCGCGUGAGUGAAGAAGGCCUUCGGGUUGUAAAGCUCUUUCAGUCGGGAAGAAAAGGUUGUGACUAAUAAUUGCAAUUCAUGACGGUACCGACAGAAGAAGCACCGGCUAACUACGUGCCAGCAGCCGCGGUAAUACGUAGGGUGCGAGCGUUAAUCGGAAUUACUGGGCGUAAAGGGUGCGCAGGCGGURUUGUAAGURAGAUGUGAAAUCCCCGGGCUUAACCUGGGAACU
rnacentral:rRNA from 1 species